AAACAAAGAGAUUUAUUUCGUCUCGAGAAAAAAGAGAGAAAGAGAUUGGCCAGCGAAGAGAGAAAGGGAUUGCCCCCCAGUCAAGAUCCCCCGAUUCCUCUCCCUCUCCCUUGUUGCCGCCGCCGCCACCGGUGACCUCCCCUCAGCCACGCCCUCCCCAACGGCGACCUCCCCUCCCCCUCGCACCAGAUCGAGCAGCAGGUCGGGCAGGGCAGAGUGGAGCGGGGAUGGGAGGAGAUGGCGGCAACGUCGUCCUCCUCGCCCAUCGGCGGGCGACACCUGUCAGAGUAGACCUAGGUCGCCGUUGUGGCUGCUGUCUCAGGCGAGAAGAGGAGUGGUCAUAUUAGGACGCGAGGAGGGGGAGCAGCCAACCAUGCUCAAGGCCGUCCGCGGUGGCCGCAAAUCGAGGCGGCGACUACAAUUCGAAGCUGCAGAAGACGGAGGCGAAGAUGUCGAGCAUGUGGCCCUGCGCACAAGAGAAUACAGUGAGUCCAUACAAUCCAAUUUCCUUACUCUGUAGACUCCAGGUGCCUCUUGAUUCACCUUUUUUUUACAUCCCAUAGAAGAUAAGGAAAUACAUGUUUUUUAGUUUUGAUGUGCCAUGAACUUAUUUUUUUACUGGAACUAUACAAGGCUUCAAAAUUCAGUUAUCAGAACAUGAAUUAAUCCUAGAUAACAUAUGUUGUUGGUCUGGCAGCUUACUGCCAGAAAAGUUGUGCUCUGAAGGGGUGCGAGGACUGCUAGGGAUGUACAGGGUAUGACACAUUGACAGGGUGCUUCCAAUUGGUAAUUCAAAAUCUGGAAAACACAAAUUCUCUCGCAUUAUUAUAGAAAGUGUUGCUAAAUCACGACAGUUUAUAAGCACGUUACUGAAUGUACUGAACCACAUGUUAGUAGUGAUCGUGAAUUGUGGAAACUUGAUGAUUAUUAUAUAUAACCAAAUUUUGCUAGCCUGCUUGCCGUAAGUUUGUUUCACUAACAGAUAGUUGUAUGUAUGCACAGGUAUGCAGCGCAUUGCUCUGUUCCAAAGUGUCUGCAUGUCUAAUUUUAAUUUGAUAUUGUGUGUGCGUGCCUGUCUAAUUUGCUGUUGUGUGUGAUUUGGUCUGUCACUGUGCGUUCCUACUAUCCUAAGGAUUGCUGCCAAAUUUUUUGUUGUCCGUUCAGGUUCUUUCAAUACUGCACCUGCUUCCUCUUCCUCUGCUUCGAAUCGAUCUUUCAUAGGUACCAGCGGCGGCGGCUACAAUGGCCACGACGAACGGCCGCAGAACAAUGGCUACAAUAUCAUCUCGGCAUUCACAAAGGCUGCCUUGGGUUGGUGGGCAUGGACAUGAGCAACCAUUGCAGCAUGUGCGGCUGUCCUGAUGAUGAUAAUAGUAUUCUGAUUCUGAGCAACAUCCAAGUGAUGCUUACAUGGAAGAGUAUGUUUGGAUAGAUGGAGAGAGGGAUUGCAGCACCCGAGCUCCACUGCUCCCUAUAUUUAAACAUUUUGAAAUUUGUGUUUUUGAAGUUUCAAACAAAUGUGAAUUUUUUUCCUGGGAAUACAUAUACACACUUUGAAUACAUGUGGCAAGUUUCGGUAGAAACCUCUCGUUUUGUUUUGGGUUAUAGGAAAAAACAAAAUUCUGACAGUAUAUAGCAGAAAAUGGAUGUUAUUUAUGUCAGAAAUUUCCUUUUGUAUUUCUCAAAAUACAAAGUGUUUCUUUUUCAGCUUUUUACCGGGCCUUAGGCAUGUGUGUAUGUAUUCACGUAUUUGAUUUAAGAUUUUUUUUAGCAAUGGAAGUGUGUUUUUCAAAAUUUUCAAAUACCAUGAGCAAUGGAG
rnacentral:rRNA from 1 species